UUUCACGUGAUGAAGGAGAAAAGUAUUUUGAAUACCAGUCCCAGAGAGUCGGUGGCUGCUGUAAACCGAUACUGGUUCUUGAUACGAAUCACUCCUGAGCAGUAUCUGCGAAAGCCAACCCAGUAGUGGAUACCGGCUAGCCUCGAUAUCGGCUUAGGUUUUUAUGAACCGAAGAAAGGGGCAUUUCUCUUUGAUCAGACAGAAAUGCAAAGCAGGUGGUACCGCGGGUGAACAGCUCGUCCUUGCA
rnacentral:ncRNA from 1 species